CCCGCCAAUUCCUUUAAGUUUCUCUGGUUGAUCCUGCCGGACCCGACUGCUAUCGGAUUGAGACUAAGCCAUGCGAGUCAACCCGCAAGGGUGGCGGACGGCUCAGUAACACGUAGUGAACCUGCCCUGGGGACGUGGACAACCAUGGGAAACUGUGGCUAAACCGCGAUAGGUCAUUGUUUCUGGAAUGGGCAAUGGCUCAAACCUACAUGGCCCCAGGAUGGCACUGCGGCCGAUCAGGUUGUUGGUGAGGUAAUGGCCCACCAAGCCUGUAACCGGUACGGGCUCUGAGAGGAGGAGCCUGGAGAUGGGCACUGAGACAAGGGCCCAGGUCCUACGGGAUGCAGCAGGCGCGAAACCUUUGCCAUGCGCGAAAGCGUGACAGGGGAACUCCGAGUGGUAGAGGGGUUUACCUCUCUAUCUUUUGCCAAUCUAAACAAUUGGCAGAAUAAGAUCUGGGUAAGACCAGUGCCAGCCGCCAUGCUAUGCAAUCGCACAGCAUUGGCACGGUACGCGGUAAUACUGGCAGAGCGAGUGGUACCCACGAAUAUUGGGCCUAAAGAGUCCGUAGCGGGCCGACUAAGUCCACUGUGAAAUCGGGCGGCUCCAACCGUCCGGCGUGCAGUGGAUACUGAUCGGCUUGGGAGCGGGGGAGGUCGGGAGUACUUGCGGGGUAACGGUAAAAUGUUGUAAUCCUGCAAGGACUACCAGUGGCGAAGGCGCCCGACCAAAACGCGUCCGACCGUGAGGGACGAAGGCUAGGAGAACGAAUCGGAUUAGAUAC
rnacentral:rRNA from 1 species